rnacentral:rRNA from 1 species
CAAGAAUCGGGAUACCCCGGGAACUGGGGAUAAUACCGGAUAGAUCAUCUGUGCUGGAAGGCUGGGUGGUUGAAACUUCCGGGGCUUUUGGAUGGGUCUGCGGCUGAUUAGGUUGUUGCCGGUGUAACGUACCGUCAAGCCUGUAAUCAGUACGGGUUGUGGGAGCAAGAGCCCGGAGAUGGAUUCUGAGACACGAAUCCAGGCCCUACGGGGCGCAGCAGGCGCGAAAACUCUACAAUGCAGGCAACUGCGAUAGGGGAACAUCGAGUGAUCCUCAUAUUGGGGGUCUGUCCACCCGUCUAAAAAACGGGUGUUAGCAAGGGCCGGGCAAGACCGGUGCCAGCCGCCGCGGUAAUACCGGCGGCUCGAGUGGUGGCCGAUAUUAUUGAGUCUAAAGGGUCCGUAGCCGGCUUUGCAAGUCUCUCGGGAAAUCCAGCGGCUUAACCGUUGGUCGUCCGGGGGGUACUACAUUGCUUGGGACUGGGAGAGGUAGGAGGUACUCAGGGGGUAGGAGUGAAAUCCUGUAAUCCUUUGGGGACCACCGGUGGCGAAGGCGUCCUACCAGAACAGGUCCGACGGUGAGGGACGAAAGCUAGGGGCACGAACCGGAUUAGAUACCCGGGUAGUCCUAGCCGUAAACGAUGCUCGCUAGGUGUCACAACAGUCGUGAAUUGUUGUGGUGCCGUAGGGAAGCCGUGAAGCGAGCCACUUGGGAAAGUACGACCGCAAGGUUGAAACUUAAAGGAAUUGGCGGGGGAGCAC